rnacentral:rRNA from 1 species
GAUGAACGCUGGCGGCGUGCCUAAUACAUGCAAGUCGAGCGAACAGAUAAGGAGCUUGCUCCUUUGACGUUAGCGGCGGACGGGUGAGUAACACGUGGGUAACCUACCUAUAAGACUGGGAUAACUUCGGGAAACCGGAGCUAAUACCGGAUAACAUUUGGAACCGCAUGGUUCUAAAGUGAAAGAUGGUUUCGCUAUCACUUAUAGAUGGACCCUCGCCGUAUUAGCUAGUUGGUAAGGUAACGCCUUACCAAGGCAACGAUCCGAAGCCGACCUGAGAGGGGGAUCGGCCACCCUGGAACGGAGACACGGUCCAGACUCCUACGGGAGGCAGCAGUAGGGAAUCUUCCGCAAUGGGCGAAAGCCUGACGGAGCAACGCCGCGUGAGUGAUGAAGGGUUUCGGCUCGUAAAACUCUGUUAUUAGGGAAGAACAAACGUGUAAGUAACUGUGCACGUCUUGACGGUACCUAAUCAGAAAGCCACGGCUAACUACGUG